AUUGAACGCUGGCGGCAGGCCUAACACAUGCAAGUCGAGCGGAGCGGCGGACGGGUGAGUAAUGCCUAGGAAUCGGCCUGGUAGUGGGGGAUAACGUCCGGCAACGGGCGCUAAUACCUCAUACUCUCAGAUGAGCAUAGGUCGGAUUAGCGAGUUGGUGGGGUAAGGGCCGACCAAGGCGACGCUCCGUAACUGGUCUGAGAGGAUGAUCAGUCACACUGGAACUGAGACACGGCCCAGACUCCUACGGGAGGCAGCAGUGGGGAAUAUUGGACAAUGGGCGAAAGCCUGAUCCAGCCAUGCCGCGUGUGUGAAGAAGGCCUUAGGAUUGUAAAGCACUUUAAGUUGGGAGGCGUUACCAACAGAAGAAGCACCGGCUAACUUCGUGCCAGCAGCCGCGGUAAUUC
rnacentral:rRNA from 1 species